rnacentral:rRNA from 1 species
GAGUUUGAUCGUGGCUCAGAUUGAACGCUGGCGGCAUGCCUUACACAUGCAAGUCGAACGGCAGCAUGAUCUAGCUUGCUAGAUUGAUGGCGAGUGGCGAACGGGUGAGUAAUACAUCGGAACGUGCCCUGUAGUGGGGGAUAACUAGUCGAAAGAUUAGCUAAUACCGCAUACGACCUGAGGGUGAAAGUGGGGGACCGCAAGGCCUCAUGCUAUAGGAGCGGCCGAUGUCUGAUUAGCUAGUUGGUGGGGUAAAGGCCCGACCAAGGCGACGAUCAGUAGCUGGUCUGAGAGGACGAUCAGCCACGCUGGGACUGAGACACGGCCCAGACUCCUACGGGAGGCAGCAGUGGGGAAUUUUGGACAAUGGGCGAAAGCCUGAUCCAGCAAUGCCGCGUGUGUGAAGAAGGCCUCGGUU